CUCAAGUGAUCCACCCACCUUGGCCUCCAAAAGCGCUGGGAUUAUAGGUGUGAGCCACCGCAUCCAGCCAUACUCAUGGUUUUUUUUUUUUUUAAUUCAUUGAGUUAUCCUUAGACUUUGUCUCAGUUUUGACUAGGCAAGCCAUCUUCUUUGUCCUUUUGACAAGUGCUCAUUACUUUUUGAGUUCUCUUAUUUUCUAGUGUUAUAAAAUACUCCCACCCCAGCCCAGGAAUCAGCCAUUUUUCCAGUUUCUUUUUGUGUGUGU